GGUCAAGUUAUUAAGGGUGCAGGGCGGAUGCCUUGGCACUAGGAGCCGAUGAAGGACGUGAUAAGCUGCGAUAAGCUUCGGGGAGUUGCACGUAAACUUUGAUCCGAAGAUUUCCGAAUGAGGAAACUCACUUAGAGUAAUGUCUAAGUAUCAUUAAGUGAAUACAUAGCUUAAUGAGGGGAACUCAGGGAACUGAAACAUCUAAGUACCUGAAGGAAGAGAAAGAAAUUCGAUUCCGUAAGUAGCGGCGAGCGAACGCGGAUUAGCCCAAACCAAUAAAGUUUUCUUUAUUGGGGUUGCGGACAUAUCAUAACGAAGAGGUAUCGUAAUUGAAGAGGUUUGGAAAGACCCACCACAGAAGGUAAUAGUCCUGUAUGUUAAACGAGAAGACUUUAGAUAUGAUCCAGAGUACCACGGGACACGUGAAACCCUGUGGGAAGCAGGAGGGACCACCCUCCAAGGCUAAAUACUACCUAGUGACCGAUAGCGUAUAGUACCGUGAGGGAAAGGUGAAAAGAACCCCGGG
rnacentral:rRNA from 1 species